GAUGAACGCUGGCGGCGUGCCUAAUACAUGCAAGUCGAGCGAACGGACGAGAAGCUUGCUUCCCUGAUGUUAGCGGCGGACGGGUGAGUAACACGUGGAUAACCUACCUAUAAGACUGGGAUAACUUCGGGAAACCGGAGCUAAUACCGGAUAAUAUUUUGAACCGCAUGGUUCAUAAGUGAAAGACGGUCUUGCUGUCACUUAUAGAUGGAUCCGCGCUGCAUUAGCUAGUUGGUAAGGUAACGGCUUACCAAGGCAACGAUGCAUAGCCGACCUGAGAGGGUGAUCGGCCACACUGGAACUGAGACACGGUCCAGACUCCUACGGGAGGCAGCAGUAGGGAAUCUUCGGCAAUGGGCGAAAGCCUGACGGAGCAACGCCGCGUGAGUGAUGAAGGUCUUCGGAUCGUAAAACUCUGUUAUUAGGGAAGAACAUAUGUGUAAGUAACUGUGCACAUCUUGACGGUACCUAAUCAGAAAGCCACGGCUAACUACGUG
rnacentral:rRNA from 1 species